rnacentral:lncRNA from 1 species
CCGGCGCCCUGCAGCCGGCGCACCGUGCUAAUCUGAUGGCAGGAGCCAGGUACUUCUCCUGGUCUCCCAUGGGGUGCAGGGCCCAAGCACUUGGGCCAUCCUCCACUGCACUCCCUGGCCACAGCAGAGAGCUGGCCUGGAAGAGGGGCAACCGGGACAGAAUCCAGUGCCCCAACUGGGACUAGAACCCGGUGUGCUGGCACUACAAGGAGGAGGAUUAGCCUAGUGAGCCGUGGUGCUGGCCUUGACAGUGUUUUACAUUUGUUUUAUGACUCGGCAUAAGCUAUUUUGGCUAACAUUUUCCUGUGCACUUUGAAAGAAUUUGUAUUCUGGAGUUCUUGAGUAGAAUGUUUUAUAAAUACUGAUUUUUCCAGUAUGGUUGAUAUUAUAUUUACUGAUAUUUAUGUUCUAAAAGUCUAUUGAUUACUGAUAUUGUUAUUAUUGCUUUAAAUUGUCAAUGGUCCUAAAAAGAAUUCAAUGUAUGCACAUCCAAAUGGAUGACACAGUAUUAAUUCUACUUGAGAUUUACUAAGUUCUUUGAUAUGGGGAUUAACAUAUUUAAUAAUUUUAGAAAAUUCUAGCCAUUAUCUCUUCAAAAUAAUUUUUUGCCCCAUUCUCUAUCUUUACUCUCUUUUUUGUAUGUUAGUUAUACAUAUGCUGGAUGAUUUGAUAUCACUCAAUAAACCUUGAAUUUCUUAUUCAGUUUAAACUUGUUUCCUCUUUGUGUUUCAGCUUGGAUGACUUCUAUUUUCCUAUUUUCCAGUUAACUGAUUUUUUCUUCUAAUGUGUCCAGCAUGCUCUUUUUGAUCACUGAAUGGAUUUUGCACCUCUUAUAUUGUUCUACCCCAUCUAUUUAGUUAUUUUUUAUAAUUUUAUAUUACAUAUGAAAGUUUCAAUAUCUUUUUUUUUUUUGACAGGCAGAGUGGACAGUGAGAGAGAGAGACAGAAAGAAAGGUCUUCCUUUUUGCCGUUGGUUCACCUUCCAAUGGCUGCCGCGAUACGAAGGCAGGAGCCAGGUACUUCUCCUGGUCUCCCAUGGGGUGCAGGGCCCAAGGACUUGGGCCAUCUUCCACGGCACUCCCUGGCAACAGCAGAGAGCUGGCCUGUAAGAGGGGCAACUGGGACAGAAUCCAGCGCCCCAACCGGGACUAGAACCUGGUGUGCAGGCACCACAAGGUGGAGGAUUAGCCUAGUGAGCCGUGGCACUGGCCUCAAUAUCUUCUUGCACCAAGUUUCAUUAGAUUCUGUAACACAUUUAUCAGUUAUUUUAAUGUUAUUGCCAGCUAAAUCUAAUAUAUUGGUCAUCUGUCAACGUCUUUCCAUUGCUUGUCUUUCCUCCUGUUCAUCAUGGUUUUCUACUUCUUCAUAUAUAUUAAAAUUUUUAUUCUAUAACAGUCAUUUUGUAUCAAGAACAGUUGAAGUGAUUAACUGAAGGUUCCAGGUGUGAAGCAGCCAGCAAUGGGAGUAGCUCCAGUGGCAGCAGCAAACUUCAGCACAGCUCUCUGGCCAGUGUUCCUGGAGGAUAUCACACUGACAUCAGCAGGGUUUUCAAUGGCCACAAUAGCACGAGCUGCCAACAGCAGCUUCUCCCAGGUCCUCUUCAGAUUGAUGAUGUAGAUGCCAUCACUCUUCCUUUUGUAGAUGUACUGUUCCAUCUGGAAGUCAAGGUUGGUGCCACCUAGGUGGGUUCCUGCUGCAAGGAACUUGAGGACGUCCUCCUCCUUCAUUUGCAGGACAUCAAGGGCUCCGGACAUUGUGACAGCUUCCCCUUAAGUUACGCCGGGAAUCAAAAACAACGCCGUAUGGACCCUGGCCGGGUAGCGCGGAAAGGCCUCAAUAGUCUUGACAAGGGUUGUUCAAAGUCAUCCAAAGUCACCCAUCUCAAAAUGUCAAUUUCACUUCUGUAGAUUACCUUUUAGCUACUCUAUCAGUUACCACAGAUCAGGGAGAACAUAUGGUAUUUAUCUUUUUUGGACUGGCUUAUUUCGUUAAGUAUAAUGUUUUACAGAUGUAUCAAUUUUGUUGUGAAGGAAAGGAUUUCAUUUUUUUCACCACAGUGUAGUAUUCCAUGGUGUACAUAUCCCAUGAUUUCUUUAUCCAGUUUUCAGUUGAUGGACAUUUGUUGAUUACAUAUCUUAGCUAUUGAGAAUUGAGCUGCAAUAAACACUGGGGUAUAUAUAACUCUUUUAUACGU